rnacentral:rRNA from 1 species
CCCUUAGAUGUUCUGGGCCGCACGCGCGCUACACUGACGGAGCCAGCGAGCUUACCCCUUUGCCGAAAGGCAUGGGAAAUCUUUUGAAUCUCCGUCGUGCUGGGGAUAGAUCAUUGCAAUUAUUGAUCUUGAACGAGGAAUUCCUAGUAAGCGCAAGUCAUCAACUUGCGUUGAUUACGUCCCUGCCCUUUGUACACACCGCCCGUCGCUCCUACCGAUUGGGUGUGCUGGUGAAAUGUUCGGAUCGGCCGUUUGUCGCGGUUUCCGCGUCAUGUGGCUGAGAAGUUCAUUAAACCCUCCCACCUAGAGGAAGGAGAAGUCGUAACA